rnacentral:rRNA from 1 species
UGCCCUGGUCCGGAUAAUAUACCUGUUGAAUUCUAUCAACAUUGUUGGGAUGUUGUAGCCCCGGACUUAUUGGCAUUAUUUGAAUGGUUUUAUGAAGGGAGACUGGAUGUGCAAAGGUUGAAUUAUGGCAUUAUUACCCUUCUACCAAAAUCUGAUGACGCUAGUAAGAUCCAGCAAUAUAGGCCAAUAUGUUUGCUUCGUUGUCCAUACAAACUUAUUACCAAGGUUAUGGACAUUAGGGCCAGUAAGUAUGCUUAUAAACUAUUCAGCAUUCAGCAAAACACAUUCAUCAAAGGGAGGCAUAUAGUAGAUGGCAUAUUAUCUUUGCAUGAAGUUUUGCACCAUACUCAUGUUAAAAAAUAG